UACGUAGGGUGCGAGCGUUAAUCGGAAUUACUGGGCGUAAAGCGCACGCAGGUGGCUGAGUCAGUCGAUUGUGAAAGCCCUGGGCUUAACCUGGGAAUUGCAGUCGAUACUACUCAGCUAGAGUAUGGGAGAGGGUAGUGGAAUUCCCGGUGUAGCGGUGAAAUGCGUAGAUAUCGGGAGGAAUACCGGUGGCGAAGGCGGCAUCCUGGACCGGCAUUGACGCUGAGGAGCGAAAGCCAGGGGAGCGAACAGG
rnacentral:rRNA from 1 species